CUUAUCUUGAAUUCUGCCCUCUGAAAACAGCAAGGAUGAAGGGGGAGUGUUUUCUACUUAAUUGAAUGCAUUCAGCAUUCUUAAUUCAUUGCAUCCAGGAGUGGUAUCCUAUCUAAUUCCAACCCCAAGGAACAGUGCUGGUAAUCUGGGAGGAACACUACAAAGGAUGGUUCAAGGCCUGUCUUUUCAGGGGAACAUGUAGCACCCAGGUGACCUGUCACAUGCUGUGCUGGCUCAGAGCCACCUAGACC
rnacentral:lncRNA from 1 species